UACUAGAGUAGCACUCGCAUAUCAAUAAGCGGAGGAAAAGAAACUAACAAGGAUUCCCCUAGUAACGGCGAGUGAAGCGGGAAGAGCUCAAAUUUGAAAUCUUAAAGGGUUUCCCUUUACGAAUUGUAGUUUAAAGAAGUGUUUUCUGUUGAGGUUUUGGUAAAAGUUCUUUGGAAUAGGACAUCAUAGAGGGUGAGAAUCCCGUAUUUGACCUUUACUUUCAACUUUGUGAUACACUUUCAAAGAGUCGGAUUGUUUGGGAAUGCAGUCCAAAAUGGGUGGUAAAUUUCAUCUAAAGCUAAAUAUUGGCGAGAGACCGAUAGCGAACAAGUACCGUGAGGGAAAGAUGAAAAGAACUUUGAAAAGAGAGUUAAACAGUACGUGAAAUUGUCAAAAGGGAAGCGUUUGACACCAGUGUUGUUUUUCUGAAAAUCAAUUAAAGAACUGUUUAUGCUAAGUUGUUUAGACUUUAUCAGCUAACUGUUUAGUUUUGAGCUUUUCUUUAAUGCACUUUUCAGUUAACAAGUCAACAUCAAUUUCUUUUGCUGUAAAAAAGCUUGAGGAAGGUGGCUUGAGAUUCGUCUUAAGUGUUUAUAGCCUCUUGCCUAUGCAGUCGGAGAGAUUGAGGUCUGCAGCGUAGAUCCUUCGGGGCUAAAUGCAUUUGUGCUAAGUUAUAGCAUUUUAUAGACAACUUGUUGACUAUGAUUUGUCUUGUAGCUUACUCGCUUAUGUUAUUUUACCUACGCUUAGGAUGUUGAGCGCAUGUCUCUCUCU
rnacentral:rRNA from 1 species